UACGUAGGGACCAAGCGUUGUUCGGAUUUACUGGGCGUAAAGGGCGCGUAGGCGGCAAUUCAAGUCAUCUGUGAAAUCUCCGGGCUUAACCCGGAACGGUCAGAUGAUACUGCUUUGCUAGAGUGCGGAAGGGGCAAUCGGAAUUCUUGGUGUAGCGGUGAAAUGCGUAGAUAUCAAGAGGAACACCUGAGGUGAAGACGGGUUGCUGGGCCGACACUGACGCUGAUGCGCGAAAGCCAGGGGAGCGAACGGG
rnacentral:rRNA from 1 species